UACAGAGGGUGCAAGCGUUAAUCGGAAUUACUGGGCGUAAAGCGUGCGUAGUCGGUUAUUCAAGUCGGGCGUGAAAGCCCCGGGCUCAACCUGGGAAUUGCGUCCGAUACUGUUUAGCUAGAGUUCGGCAGAGGGAAGUGGAAUUUCUGGUGUAGCGGUGAAAUGCGUAGAUAUCAGAAGGAACAUCAGUGGCGAAAGCGACUUCCUGGACCAGAACUGACGAUCAGGCACGAAAGCGUGGGGAGCAAACAGGAUUAGAAACCCCGGUAGUCC
rnacentral:rRNA from 1 species